AUUCCAGCUCCAAUAGCGUAUAUUAAAGUUGUUGCAGUUAAAAAGCUCGUAGUUGGAGUUCGGGGAAAGCUCAGUCGGUCGGCCUAAUGGGUCAGAACUGGCUGACUCUCUCUUGUUUGCGGAUCCCUCCCGGAGUUAACUCUUCAGGUUGUGGAGUCCGCAUCGUUUACCUUGAAAAAAUUAGAGUGUUCAAAGCAGGCGUUUGCUUGAAUAUAUUAGCAUGGAAUAAUGGAAUAGGACCCUGGUUCUAUUUUGUUGGUUUUGAGAGCCAGAGUAAUGAUUAAUAGGGAUAGUUGGGGGCAUUCAUAUUUCAUUGUCAGAGGUGAAAUUCUUGGAUUUAUGAAAGAUGAACUUCUGCGAAAGCAUUUGCCAAGGAUGUUUUCAUUA
rnacentral:rRNA from 1 species